rnacentral:misc_RNA from 1 species
CCGACCGACCCACUCACCCACGAAAAAGCAGACAGCACAAACGUGAGACCACACUCCUCUUCUUUUCACCCUCCCUCGUAACUACUCAGCAAACAAAGUUCGCCGUCUCGCACCCCCGCUCACUUCAAGCGAAUAACCGUCCGUGAUACACACAAACAAUCAGCAGCCGGCACGCAUUAUCAUAAUCAUGGGCUCUUUCUGCGCUAAGCCUGAUGCGGCCCCCAAGGACGAUGUGCACGAGGGUGAGAAGAACUACCAGGAGGAGGGCGAGAAGUCUUUCAACGACGCCAACGUAGAGGCGACGUCGAAGCCCCAGCAGUGCGAUAAGGACGACGCGGCAAAGGACGUCGAGGCAGCGGACGACGCGGCAAAGGACGUCGAGGCAGCGGACGACGCGGCAAAGGACGUCGAGGCAGCGGACGACGCGGCAAAGUGCGCCGAGGUGGAGGACAUGGAGGAGAAGCAGGAAAAGUUUGAGGUGGACCCCAAGAACGAGUCGGAUGAUAUGGAAAGACAGGCGGACGAAAAGCGGGAGGAAUGGGGGCAGAAGGUCGAGGAGGAGGGCCAGCAUAUCACCAACGACGCCGAAAACCACAUCAGCUGCAGCGGCUGAGCGCUACACACCUAGUUCUCUUGUGCAUUGAUCGCUAUUCAUUCUGAUCUGCACUUGCACACUGGAGGUGCAACGAUCCUGCGCAUGUGUGUAUGUGUCGGUACACGCCCCUCUCUCGUACUCGCAUCUGUUUUUGCUUUGGGCCCCGCCUCGCACCGCUUGAAACACGCCCCUUCCCCCUCCAUACGAUCCCACUGCCCAUCCGUGCAAAUACACGCACACGCACACACAACGUACAUAGCUCACAUUGUCGUCCUCCACAUCAUGUCUCUGCUUGUUUUCUGUUGUUUUGAAUCGUCGUAGCCCAGUGCUGCCUAUAUAUUUCUUUCUCGUUUUUUUUUUCUUCUCUCCCCCACACCCCAAAUUACCACCGUCCCUUCCCCCCUACUCAGCAGCCUCUCUUCCCAUGCCUUGUACCUUCUCUCUCGCUUUUUUUCUCGGCACGCACAGACGAACGUCUCUUCCUGUAUCUCUUCCUCUCCUUUUUUUGUUUCUUUCGUUGUGUUUACUUCGCUCUGUGCGUGACGGAGGCGUGUUUUGUCUCUCUCUCUCUGUGCGUGCGCUGGAGGCGGUGGUGGGGGUAGAGGGUAAGAGAGUGGGCGGUAGGUUCCUGGCCUCGUCUUGACCACUAUCCGCGAAUGCCUUGGCUAUCCUCCAUACAUACAUACACCCACUCACAGACACGCACAGUCUCACACUAGAGCGCAUGGCACGCGCGCACAUGUACAUUGCGAGGAAAAAGAAGAAAAGAAGAACAGUGUUAGGGGGAAAGCACGCACGCACACAUACACCCAAACAACGACACCUACCUUCCACACACCCCCGACCUCUUCUACAGCCUCCCAAACCUCCUCGUUUCAUG